rnacentral:lncRNA from 1 species
UCUUUCAUUUACCAGUACGUAACUCAUGGAUAUUUGUCAAUGCAGGUUUCUCAAUAUGCAGUCUGCACUGGUUUAAUAUGUGACAAGGAGACAAGGAAUCCAUUGGGAAUGGCAGUAAGAUGCAAGAUAAGAUGCAAAUAAGCAAGAAAGAGAAAUUAAGAAUGAAAAGACAGAGCAGUUUGUGAAAAUUCAGAUUGUGCAGUUCAGAAUAAUACCAUAAAGGCUCAUCACUUUAAUCAGUUAUUGAUCACACCGUGGGGACAUUCUACAGAUUCCACUCAAUGCUACUUUUAAAAUGGAGAAGGUCCGAGUCAGAGGUCAUCUUCCUGCCUGGCACCAGAGCAAUCAUGUGUGUCAUCUGACAGACUGCACCACAAAGUGUUCGAUCACACAGCAAAGCUCUGCUUCUCCCAUGGCCCAAGUGAUCCCACAACAGUUGACCCAACA